rnacentral:rRNA from 1 species
GAUGAACGCUCGCGGCAGGCCUAACACAUGCAAGUCGAGGGAGAAGCCCUUUCGGGGGCAGGAACCGGCGCACGGGUGCGUAACGCGUAUGCAACCUACCUUUCACAGGGGGAUAGCCCGAAGAAAUUUGGAUUAAUACUACAUAAUAUUAUUGGAUGGCAUCAUUUGAUAAUUAAAACUGCGGUGGUGAAAGAUGGGCAUGCGUCCUAUUAGCUAGUUGGAGUGGUAACGGCACCCCAAGGCUACGAUAGGUAGGGGUCAUGAGAGGGAGAUCCACCACACUGGUACUGAGGCAGGGACCAGACUCCUACGGGAGGCAGCAGUAAGGAAGAUUGGGCAAGGGUCGGUAGACUGAACCAGCCAUGCCGCGUGCAGGAAGAAUGCCUUAUGGGUGGUAAACUGCUUUUAUAUGGGAAGAAUAAGGUGUACGUGUACAUUGAUGACGGUACCAUAUGAAUAAGCAUCGGCUAACUCCGUG